AAUAUUGGUCAAUGGAGGGAACUCUGAACCAGCCAUGCCGCGUGCAGGAAGAAUGCCCUCUGGGUUGUAAACUGCUUUUAUCUGUGAAUAAACCUUUCUACGUGUAGGAAGCUGAAUGUAACAGAGGAAUAAGGAUCGGCUAACUCCGUGCCAGCAGCCGCGGUAAUACGGAGGAUCCAAGCGUUAUCCGGAUUUAUUGGGUUUAAAGGGUGCGUAGGCGGCCUGGUAAGUCAGGGGUGAAAGACGGUGGCUCAACCAUCGCAGUGCCUUUGAUACUGCCGGGCUUGAAUGUACAUGAGGCAGGCGGAAUGUGGCAAGUAGCGGUGAAAUGCAUAGAUAUGCCACAGAACACCGAUUGCGAAGGCAGCUUGCCAGGGUACGAUUGACGCUGAGGCACGAAAGCGUGGGGAUC
rnacentral:rRNA from 1 species